rnacentral:lncRNA from 1 species
GGGAGAACUUGCGUUGGCUGAGGCUGGGGGAUCGAUACACAGCCUGCAGGCCCCGGGGCAGCCUCCAUCCCCCAAGCCGAGGUGGAGUUCGCUGGAAGGUCACGCCACCUUCCUGGACUCCCGCACCGGUACAGCGCACUGCAUGUAAUAUUACAGCCUGGGGCGGCGAAUUUGGGAAGGAGGGAGAGGGUCGUUGUGAGCAGGUUGCACUCAGCUCUGGCCCUCCGGAGGGUGCACUGCACGCCUCCAGAGAAGGUCCACAGCCUCCUGGUGCUGAAAACCUACGUCCCUCCACUGGCGAAACAUUUGUGCAGAGCGGACGAUGGGAUAGGGGCUGGAGAGGAGCAAUGAAAGGGAGGAGACACAGGCAAGCCUCAACUCCCUCAACUCGUCCCGAAUCGAUCUUCGUUCCAACCGCGCAGGAUGGGGCCCAGAUGGUUUGCAAAGCGCACACUCGCACAGCGCAUACACAGAACAAGAUUCCGUUGUUACAGCGCGUGGUUUACUAGAUGCUAAAAGGGUGGGAGUAGCAGGAGGGUCUUAAACGGCAGCCCCAAGGCUCUGCUAAGGACAGAGACACCCCAUUGUGGAUGGUUUCUCCAUUGCAAUAUAUUUAGCGUUGGGCGCUGGGGUUUUUGCUUCAGUGUAGCUGCUCUGAUCAGUUACAGAUUGGCGACCACGUGGAUUCCCUCAAGCAUCCUGAUUUGUUCGUUCUCUCUCUCUCUCUCUCUCUCUCUCUCUCUCUCUCUCUCGUCUCUCUUCUCUCUUAUUUUUCUUUUGUAUUUGCCGCCCCCCCUUCUUUAAUAUGCAUAACGGUCUGCAGAGGUAAUAGGCAGGGGACUGAAUGACAGGCUUUAUAUAACUGUGUCAACAGAUUUCUUCCCGCCUUCUACCCUUGAGAAAACAUGAACUGGGUGGGUUCUGAGUAACCUCACUUCAAGCAUUCUUCAUUUAACACAGGUGGGAGGUCUGCAGGUUGCAAGGCAGCAGAAAGAAGGAAGAAUGUCUUCGAAUAUUGUGUGGAGUCUCCAGACUCAAGCCUCUGAGCAGAAAAACUCCUUGAGAAAUCAUAUAGUUUGUCUCUUUGCCUCUAGAAUAGUCCAAAAGGAGCCACAGCAAGUCAGAAUUUGGUUUAUUGUUGGAGAUUUUAGGGCGAAAAUAUUAAUAAUAACAUUUUUGAGUGCUUUCUGUGAGCCUAAGUGCUUUAUGUGCAUUCAAUUCUCUCCAAUCCUAUGAGAUAAAUUUGAUUUUACAUAUGGGGAAACUGAGGCUUAGAAUAAUGUCUAAAGUCACACAGCUAGUAAGUAGAAGUGCUAAAACUCACUGGGGUCUGACACCAAAUAUCCGUUAACCAUCCUGCUGAUCAUAAAAAGACAUUCCGACGCCUGUAAUCCCAGCACUUUGGGAGGCCGAGGCAGGCGGAUCAUUUCAGGAGAUCGAGACCAUCCUGGCUAACACUGAAACCCCGUCUCUACUAAAAAUACAAAAAAUUAGCUGGGCCAGGUGGCGGGCGCCUGUAGUCCCAGCUACUCGGGAGGCUGAGGCAGGAGAAUGGCGUGAACCCCGGGGGGUGGAGCCUGCAGUGAGCCGAGAUCGCGCCACUGCACUCCAGCCUGGGCGACAGCGAGACUCCGUCUCAAAAAAAAAAAAAAAAAAAAGACAUUCUGUGCCUUACACAUUAGGUACCUUAAACUCCAUGUGCUUUACUUAUUUUUUAUUUUAAAUUUUCAUUCAACAUAUUUUUCUUGAAUACCUAAUACAUUCAUAUGGUUAAAAAUUUAAGACCGGGCACGGUGGCUCACGCCUGUAAUCCCAGUACUUUGGGAGGCUGAGCUGGGCAGAUCCCCUGAGGUCAGGAGUUCAAGACCAGCCUAGCCAACAUGGUGAAACCCCCGUCUCGACUAAAAAUACAAAAAUUAGCCGGUGUGGUGGCGGGUGCCUGUAAUCAGCUACUCGGGAGGCUGAGGCAGGGGAAUCACUUGAACCCGGGAGGCGGAGGUUGCAGUGAGCAGACAUUGCACCACUGCACUCCAGCCUGGGCGACAGAGUGAGACUCCAUCUCUAAAAAAAAAAAAAAAUUUAAAA